rnacentral:rRNA from 1 species
AUUGAACGCUGGCGGCAGGCUUAACACAUGCAAGUCGAGCGGAGAUGAGGUGCUUGCACCUUAUCUUAGCGGCGGACGGGUGAGUAAUGCUUAGGAAUCUGCCUGGUAGUGGGGGACAACGUUUCGAAAGGAACGCUAAUACCGCAUACGUCCUACGGGAGAAAGCAGGGGACCUUCGGGCCUUGCGCUAUCAGAUGCGCCUAGGUCGGAUUAGCUAGUUGGUGGGGUAAUGGCUCACCAAGGCGACGAUCCGUAACUGGUCUGAGAGGAUGAUCAGUCACACUGGAACUGAGACACGGUCCAGACUCCUACGGGAGGCAGCAGUGGGGAAUAUUGGACAAUGGGCGAAAGCCUGAUCCAGCCAUGCCGCGUGUGUGAAGAAGGUCUUCGGAUUGUAAAGCACUUUAAGUUGGGAGGAAGGGCAGUAAGUUAAUACCUUGCUGUUUUGACGUUACCGACAGAAUAAGCACCGGCUAACUCUGUGCCAGCAGCCGCGGUAAAAC